GGAAUAUUCCACAAUGGGGGGAACCCUGAUGGAGCGACGCCGCGUGAGUGAAGAAGGGUUUCGGCUCGUAAAGCUCUGUUGUUAGAGAAGAACGUGCGUGAGAGCAACUGUUCACGCAGUGACGGUAUCUAACCAGAAAGUCACGGCUAACUACGUGCCAGCAGCCGCGGUAAUACGUAGGUGGCAAGCGUUAUCCGGAUUUAUUGGGCGUAAAGCGAGCGCAGGCGGUUUCUUAAGUCUGAUGUGAAAGCCUUCGGCUUAACCGAAGAAGUGCAUCGGAAACUGGGAAACUUGAGUGCAGAAGAGGACAGUGGAACUCCAUGUGUAGCGGUGAAAUGCGUAGAUAUAUGGAAGAACACCAGUGGCGAAGGCGGCUGUCUGGUCUGUAACUGACGCUGAGGCUCGAAAGCAUGGGUAGCGAACA
rnacentral:rRNA from 1 species